GGUGAGUAACACGUGGGCAACCUGCCUGUAAGACUGGGAUAACUCCGGGAAACCGGAGCUAAUACCGGAUAGUACCUUGAACCGCAGGGUUCAAGUAGGAAAGACGGUUUCGGCUGUCACUUACAGAUGGGCCCGCGGCGCAUUAGCUAGUUGGUGAGGUAAUGGCUCACCAAGGCAACGAUGCGUAGCCGACCUGAGAGGGUGAUCGGCCACACUGGGACUGAGACACGGCCCAGACUCCUACGGGAGGCAGCAGUAGGGAAUCUUCCGCAAUGGACGAAAGUCUGACGGAGCAACGCCGCGUGAGUGAUGAAGGUUUUCGGAUCGUAAAACUCUGUUGUUAGGGAAGAACAAGUGCGAGAGUAACUGCUCGCACCUUGACGGUACCUAACCAGAAAGCCACGGCUAACUACGUGCCAGCAGCCGCGGUAAUACGUAGGUGGCAAGCGUUGUCCGGAAUUAUUGGGCGUAAAGCGCGCGCAGGCGGUUUCUUAAGUCUGAUGUGAAAGCCCCCGGCUCAACCGGGGAGGGUCAUUGGAAACUGGGAAACUUGAGUGCAGAAGAGGAGAGUGGAAUUCCACGUGUAGCGGUGAAAUGCGUAGAGAUGUGGAGGAACACCAGUGGCGAAGGCGACUCUCUGGUCUGUAACUGACGCUAAGGAGCGAAAGCGUGGGGAGCGAACAGGAUUAGAUACCCUGGUAGUCCACGCCGUAAACGAUGAGUGCUAAGUGUUUAGAGGGUUUCCGCCCUUUAGUGCUGCAGCUAACGCAUUAAGCACUCCGCCGGGGGAGUACGGUCGCAAGACUGAAACUCAAAGGAAUUGACGGGGGCCGCACAAGCGGUGGAAGCAGGUGGUUUAAUUCGAAGCAACGCGAAGAACCUUACCAGGUCUUGACAUCC
rnacentral:rRNA from 1 species